rnacentral:rRNA from 1 species
UACGUAGGGUGCAAGCGUUAAUCGGAAUUACUGGGCGUAAAGCGUGCGCAGGCGGUUGUGCAAGACCGAUGUGAAAUCCCCGGGCUUAACCUGGGAAUGGCAUUGGUGACUGCACGGCUAGAGUGUGUCAGAGGGGGGUAGAAUUCCACGUGUAGCAGUGAAAUGCGUAGAGAUGUGGAGGAAUACCGAUGGCGAAGGCAGCCCCCUGGGAUAACACUGACGCUCAUGCAACGAAAGCGUGGGGAGCAAACAGG